GAGAUAACGGAGUGCGGCCUCUUGACGAUCCUGUAGGCUUCCGCUGCGGGGCCGGCAAUAGAGUUGCGGAACCGAGGGACGGCUGUCAACAAAACUGAUUGAUCAUAAUAUGGUUUUAUCACAAAAUCAUUUAAGGUAUAUGAUGAUCAGACUGCAUAUUUUUAAGCAAGAAAAGAAAAAAGCUAGAUCGUGUAGAGCAAAUUUAAUUACACACUAUUGCUAUGUUGGUAACGAUAACAGAGUCCAUUGCGAGCAAAUCGUUGCCGUGACGCAACUGGAACCGGACCAUUUCCUCUGCUUGCUUCAGAUCUUCAACUUCUUGGA
rnacentral:lncRNA from 1 species